rnacentral:tRNA from 1 species
GGAGGGGUGGUCGAGCGGUUUAAGGCAACGGUCUUGAAAACCGUCGUGGUGAAAGCCACCGUGGGUUCGAAUCCCACCCCCUCCGCCA